GCUCAUCUGCUUCUGUAUGUUCCAUUUCCGAUUCUUGUAAUCAUGUCUGUUCUUCUAGCCAUAAGACUGUUGCUUUGCCUUCAAAUGUAAAUAGUUCCAUUUGUAACAAUACUGAUGCAAAUGACAUGAAUUACAUUUGCAUUUAAGACUGGCUCAUAUCCUUUUUGCAAACAUGAAACACAUUCCUGCUUUGUCAUUUUCCCUUGCUUCUAAUCAACCAUUUCCUUGUCCUAUUUGUCCUAUGGCUAGGGCAAACCAGACCUCCUUUCCUUGACAGUUCAAUCAGUACAUGUAGACCUUUCCAAUUGAUUCAUGUAGACACUUGGGGCCCUUAUCACACACCCACCUCUUCUGGCUCAAGGUACUUUCUUACUAUAGUUGAUGAUUUUUCUAGAGCAAUCUGGACACAUUUACAGGGGUCUAAAAGCAAUACUUUCAGCCUUCUUAAGUCCUUUUUGUGUAUGACUAAGACUCAAUUUAAUGCUACUGUACAAACUAUCAGAAGUGAUAAUGUUGUGGGAUUGGAGUCUAGUCUUGCUGGUAUUUCUUUCUCCAACAAACAGGGGAUCAUUCAUCAAACUACAUGUCCCCACACUCCUCAACAAAAUGGUGUUGUAGAAAGAAAAUAUAUGACCCUCCUUGAAGCUUGUAGAUCUUUACUUUUUCAAUCCAAAUUACCUAUCCAUUUUUGGGGGGACUGUUUAUUGACUGCUACCUACUUGCUUAAUAAGAUUCCAUCCUCAAAUUACCUAUCCAUUUUUGGGGGGGACUGUUUAUUGACUGCUACCUACUUGCUUAAUAGGAUACCAUCCAGAAUUCUUCACAACAAAUCCCCUUAUGAAAUAUUGUACGAGAAAGCUCUAAUUUAUUCACAUUUAAGGGCAUUUAGCUGUCUUGCCUAUGCUACUGUCCCAAUCCCACAGAGGGAUACACUGAAGCCUACAGCUAUUUCAUGUGUUUUUCUGGGAUAUCCUUUUGCCAAAAAGGGUUACAGGUUGUAUUACCUAACUACUAAAAAGUGUUUUGUGUCCAGGGAUGUUAUAUUUCAUGAAACUUAUUUUCCUUUUGUAUCUGCUUCUGCUGUUACCUCUGGUCCUUCUGUUUUUCCUUCUCUUUCUGUCCCUUCCCCUGAGCAUCCAUAUUCUGAGAUUGAUCUGUCUGUUCCCAUUUGCUCUUCUCCCCCUUCUCCUUCUGCCCCUUUUCCUUCUGCUUCCAGUCCUGUUCCCUCUUCUUUUUCUCCCACACAAUUUUCUGAUCUUAACCAUCCUGCUUCUAGUCCUCCUUUCAAUCUUGAUACUUCUCCUCCUGCCAUUUCUUCCUCUACUGCACCUACUGGCCACAGAAGAUCUGGCAGGCAACAUAAUCCUCCCUCUUAUCUUAAUGAUUAUGUUUGUCACUUACCUUCCUUUUCUGUCUCUUCCUCCUCUUCUUCUCUUUGGAAUCUGAACCUCUCUAUUAUUCUCAAGCUGCAUCAGUCCCAGUAUGACAGGAUGCCAUGAGAAAGGAGUUUGAUGCAUUGGUUGUUAUCAUACCUGGGAUGUUGUUGCUCUUCCUCCAUGACAGGAUGCCAUGAGAAAGGAGUUUGAGGCUUUGGAUGCCAACCAUACUUGGGAUGUUUAUUCCGUCCCUCCUGGUAAGAAGCCCAUAUGCUGCAAAUGGGUUUAUAAAGUUAAAUGUAAGGCUUAUGGUAGUGUUGAAAUAUACAAGGCUAGGCUUGUUAUUAGGGGUGACACUCAAAUUGAAGGAGUUGAUUUCACUGAAACCUUUUCCCCUGUGGUCAAAAUGUCUAGUGUUAAAUGCUUAAUUGCUGUGGCUGUUAAGAAACAUUGGAAUCUCUUUCAACUUGAUGUAACAAUGCCUUCUUGCAUGGUGACCUUGAUGAGGAGGUGUACAUGAAGCUUCUUCCGGGUUUGUGUGUUUCUGCCUCUUCUGAUCCCUCUAUUUCUGGACCCAUUGUGUGCAAGUUAAAAAAAAUCCCUUUAUGGAUUGAGGCAGGCUUCCAGGCAGUGGUAUGCCACAUUGUCUCAUGCUCUAUACUCCAGAGGAUAUACCCAUUCUAUGAAUGAUUACUCUUUAUUUGUCAAGGUCCAGCCUGGGUGUCUUGUGGUUCUGGCAGUGUAUGUGGAUGACAUUAUUAUCACUAGAGAUGAUGUUGCUGAACUUUCUGCCCUCAAGCACUUCCUGGAUGACUAGUUCAGGAUCAAAGACCUUGGGUCUUUGCAUUAUUUUCUGGGCAUUGAGGUGUUUACUUGCUGGUGUAGUGCUUCUUAAUCAGCACAAGUUUGUAUCUGAUUUGCUGCAUCAAUUUGACUGUGUAGAUGUCUCUCCUGUUGUAUGUCAUUUGGACCUUAAUACCAAGUUACAUGCUGAUUCUGGUGAUCUUUUCUCCUCUCCUGAACAUUACAGGAGCUUGGUUGGCAAGCUCCUCUUCUUGACACAUACCAGACCUGACAUUUGUUUUGCUUACAGGAGCUUGGUUGGCAAGCUUCUCUUCUUGACACAUACCAGACCUGACAUUUGUUUUGUUGUUCAACAUCUGAGUCAGUGUUUGAAGUCUCCCAGAGUCCCUCACAUGUAUGUUUCCCUGCAUGUUCUUAGGUAUCUUAAGGGCUCUAUGGAUUUGGGGCUCUUCUAUUCUGACACUCCUGAUUUUUCAGUUCAUGCCUUUUUAGACAGUGACUAGGCAGCUUGCC
rnacentral:lncRNA from 1 species